GUGUGUUGGGUGGGGGAGGGAGCUAUUUUCAGUUUGACUUGGCUGCUGUGGCUUGUCUCUGUGCGGCAGUGAGAGCUGCUAGCAGCUUUUUUGUUUGGUUGGUUUUAUUGAAUAAAGAGAGGAGUCUAUCUAAAGUACUCAAUUGUUUCUCUUUGACUAAAGUACUCAAUUGGUUGUCAAUUGUUUCUCUCUGAUAUGCAGAGCAGCUGAGGAGGAGAGUGUUGAAAGUCCCUAGCCCAGGGCUGUGAAGAAAGAAAUGAGGGAAAAGGGGGCUGUGCCUGCUACUUCAAAGGCGGGAAUUGCCCCUCUCUGCUCACACAUACAUAGCCUGCCUGAUGACUGCUUGAAAGUCUCUGAUCCGUGGCGCCCGGACGAGCCCCAUACCAACAGUGGAGAGCCCACCGGGACAUCCAGGGGCGGCCCGUGCCUAUAGGCAAAUUAGGCAGCAUCCUAGGGCGCCAAGUUGCAUGGGGCGCCAAAUUCCAAACCCUGCCCCUUCUAUUUCCCAUGCCUUACCUGGAGCAUGGCUUCCCUGCGGCCAGAAGAGGGGAUCUGAUGAGAAGGAGCUCACUCCGUAUGCGACUGAGGACAGUUAGGAGGAACUGGUAGGAACCGGACCGCGUGCUCUAAGAAAUGGCGCGAAUGGCACAAGGCGUUUAACGCGCAUGCAUGGUCUGACAGACCAUUGCUGACGAAUCUCCGAACUGUGGUGCCGGGACAAACCCAACAACUACAGUGGAGCACCCAUAGGGAUACCACUCGAAGAAGAACAUAGAAGUAUGGAAUUCUGGCAGCUGAGGGUAUGGGGUACUCACAGAGACCUGCUCUGGAACAGAAUUUGGGGCAUUUUGUGUUGGCCAUAGCUGAAGAAAGAGCUAGUUGUCAAGAACUCCAGCUUUGGAAGAUGCCACAUACGAUAUUGUUUAGCUCCCACUCAUGAUCGAGGGGGAAGAUCGAAUGAGCUCAUUCACCAUGGUGUGCCGUGACCCAGUACUGCACUAUCGAAGCCAGCAUCAUCUGAGGCCUGCAGGGAGUAGCCCAACAAAGCUGAAUCGAGCACCCAGCAAUCCAAGAUAACAGGUGACUGGGACAACCAAAAAGGGCAGAGAUGGUUGAGGAAGGAGGGUGGAUCCAGUAUGUUGGCUAGGAUGCCAUCCUCCAAAUGACUGCUUCUGGCCUACCUGACUUCUGGGAGGGUCAGGUUGAGUGAUCGAGCAAAAAGAGGAUAGGUAACAUAGCUUACAUCCUUUAUCCUUUUCCUUCCCCCUGUAGGAACCCAAUCUGGGAGCCUGCCAGGACCUAGACUGCAUCAGAGGACAAAGGUGCGGAAGAAGGAAUGGCUUUCUGGACUGCUGAGGGAUGUGCAAGGCCAAGGAGCAGUGGGUGGCUCAGAAG